rnacentral:lncRNA from 12 species
UGGAACAUUCAUGGGUCAUGAGUGGAGAGAGCUGGGGGCAGCCCGAGGGCACAGGGCAGGAGGGGCCCUGGGGAGCCUGGAUGGGGCUUGGGGUGCUGUACCCCCUGGGUUCUGGAGCUGCAUCCCCGGGCGUGUGUCGCUGUGGUUCGUGCUGUGAGGGGGGCGUGGGGCCUGUCCAGGCAGGCGGUCAGGACCCGGACAUGCAGGGGCCCACGGCCCUCCUGGUCUGGGUCUGCGCCUGCACCCUGGGGUCAGGAUGUGCGCUGGUGGCCCUGCCCCUUGCUGUCCCGGCUCCCGUCCCCGGACACGACAGGGGCGGCGGAAGGCAGGGCGUGGGCUGUGUCCCCAGGUGGCCGCCGAGUGUACAGGGAGGAGGACGCGGACGAGCUGCACGAGCUGUUCCACAGGAGGAACAUGCUGGCCGUGUUCUGCAAGCUCAUCGUGUGCAACGUGGGCGCGCAGGCAGGGCGGUGCUGACGGCUUCCGUGUGGCUCACAGCACUAUCAUCACUUUGGCGACAUCAUCAAGGAGACCAUGACGAGGACGAGACAGAACGACAGGCUGCGCAACGCGCUGUCCCUGCUCCUGUGCCUGCAGCAGCUGUUCCAGAAGCACGUGGACACGUACGGCCUCGGCUCCGACCCCAUCGAGUUCAUCUGCGGCCCCUUCUACUCCAUCCGCCUGCUGGCCCGCCGCUUCGCACUCACGCUUGGCUUCGACUCUGCCCGCGACGCUGCCCACCUGAUCCACAGGUGCAUGCCGGGAGGGGCCCUGACCUGCCCGACCCAUGCCCCGGCCCGUGCCACCUGCCGCUGUGCUCCCAGGUGUCCCAUCCUGCCCCCUUGUGACCCCCGCCUGACCCCGGCCUCAUCAUGACCCUGCCCGACUCUGACCCCUGCCCAGCCCCUUUCCCGGGCAUGACCCCGCCUGACCCUGUCCCCAGUGUGACCCCAACCCGAUUCCUGUCCCCAUCCGAUCCCUGUCCCAGCCCCACCUGACCCCAGUC